AUGAACGUUGGCGGCGUGGAUUAGGCAUGCAAGUCGAGCGGCAGCGCGGGGGCAACCCUGGCGGCGAGCGGCGAACGGGUGAGUAACACAUCGGAACGUACCCAGUUGUGGGGGAUAGCCCGGCGAAAGCCGGAUUAAUACCGCAUACGACCUGAGGGUGAAAGGGGGGGAUCGCAAGACCUCUCGCAGUUGGAGCGGCCGAUGGCGGAUUAGCUAGUUGGUGGGGUAAAGGCCUACCAAGGCGACGAUCCGUAGCUGGUCUGAGAGGACGACCAGCCACACUGGAACUGAGACACGGUCCAGACUCCUACGGGAGGCAGCAGUGGGGAAUUUUGGACAAUGGGGGCAACCCUGAUCCAGCCAUUCCGCGUGAGUGAAGAAGGCCUUCGGGUUGUAAAGCUCUUUCGGCAGGAACGAAACGGUGGAGGCUAAUACCUUUCAUCAAUGACGGUACCUGAAGAAGAAGCACCGGCUAACUACGU
rnacentral:rRNA from 1 species